AAAUGAACUGUCAAAAUGAAAAUUUUUUGUCAAAGGAGUCUGGUUGCUUUGAAGAGAGCAUAGAUAAUGGCUUCAGUUCCCUGUCAAAAAGAGCUGUUUGACUAAAAGGUAAAG